AGCAAGGAAAUUCUCUAGGCACUGCAGUAUAAGUGUAGGAAGUGAGGGAGUAAGGGUGGCAGGAUGGAGUGGGCUUUGUGGAAAGUUAGAAAAGACUUUAUAGAGAAGACAAAGCUGGCAUAGCCUUAACAAAUAAAGUGUUGACCAAUUAGAAAACACAGGUAAAAGUAUUUAAGUAGAGAGGAGAGCAGCGCAACAAAUGUAAAGAGGGAUGAAACACGCUGUUGUGUUUGGGGAACUACUAGUGGCUCAACAAAGCUGGAAGUGGAUGCUGCAGCAAGAAUUGGAGCUGGACAGGACAGAAUUGAAGUAAAUAGCGCAAGGACCAAUGCUGACCUCACGGUGGCACUCCAGUCUUCGAAUAAAGGGCUCUCUGGACUCAUCUUAUUGACCUCCAAAUGGACAGUCCACAUUGAAGUGAAGAGUUGACAUGAACUCUGGGCCCAUAGACCCCACAGUUUAAUUUCCUGAAGAGAAUCUACCAAGGACUUUGCUUUUCUGUUUUUAAAUCAGCUCUGACGUAAGGCUGGAUCAAUAGAAUAGGUGUCAAGUAUGCCCGAAUGUCUCCAUCCGUAAAAAAUUUCAUCAGGGUUCAAAAGUAACCAAAAUAAUUUCACCAUUAUUAUUUAUUAAUGGAUACCAUUUAUUGAAUGCCUGCUAUGUGCCACAUUGGGUUCAGGGUACUUUUCAUAUUAUAUGAGCUCAUUGAACUCACAAUAGCUCUAUGAGGUUGAUACUACAGUGUUCUCAUUUUUCUGAGAAGAAACUAGGGCUCAGAGACAUUAAGUAGCUUGCCUCUCACAUCAUAUAGGUAGUAAGUGGCCAUACUUGGUUUUGAACCCAAUCUGUGUGAUCCCCAAACUUGCGCUCUUUAAACAAGGCUGCAUUGCCUCUUAUUAUUGAUGCCAAGAUAAAAGCAGCAAUUAAUGAAACUUGGUUUUCUUCAGGUAUAGACUGUUUGGCAUGAGGUGGUUUAAAUAAUAUCAUAUUUAAGGAGAUCUAUUGCGGGCCCCUAUUGUGAAUUUGUGUCCUCUUCAUGAAACUCUUUGCCACAUAUGAGAAACAGGAUAUUUACAUAGUCACAAAGUGUGUCCCACAAGGUAUUGAUUAGUUACGAAGAGAAAAAUUGAAAAUUUACAGUGGAGCAACCUGGAAGAUACCAUGUGAAUGAAAUGGUCACAGUAUAAAUGGUAACAUAAAAGUGGUAAAAUAUCAAUAUGUACA
rnacentral:lncRNA from 1 species